rnacentral:rRNA from 1 species
UUCAACGGCCGCGGUAUACUGACCGUGCAAAGGUAGCGUAAUCAUUUGUCUUUUAAUUGAAGACUAGUAUGAAUGGCACCACGAGAACUAAUCUGUCUCCCUCCCCCAAUCAGUGAAACUGAUCUCCCCGUGCAGAAGCGGGGAUAAUAUCAUAAGACGAGAAGACCCUGUGGAGCUUCAAAUCAAUAAUCAACUGCUUCACUCACCCGUCAAAGGAUACACUCACGCAAACUUGAUUUAGAUUUUCAGCUGGGGCGUCUAUGGAGAAAAAAAUAUCCUCCAUGAAAUUUUAUGCUAAAAGCUACCGCCAUAGGCAUUAAUAUACUUAACUUUAAUUGACCCAAUUUUUGAUCAACGGACCAAGUUACCCCAGGGAUAACAGCGCAAUCCACUUAAAGAGUCCUUAUCGACAAGUGGGCUUACGACCUCGAUGUUGGAUCAGGGCAUCCAAGUGGUGCAGCCGCUACUAAAGGUUCGUUUGUUCAACGAUUAAAG